rnacentral:rRNA from 1 species
GACGAACGCUGGCGGCGUGCUUAACACAUGCAAGUCGAGCGGUAAGGCCCUUUCGGGGGUACACGAGCGGCGAACGGGUGAGUAACACGUGGGUGACCUGCCCUCAGCUCUGGGAUAAGCCUGGGAAACCGGGUCUAAUACUGGAUAUGACUCCAUGACGCAUGUUGUGGGGUGGAAAAGCCUUGUGCGGCUGAGGAUGGGCCCGCGGCCUAUCAGCUUGUUGGUGGGGUGANGGCCUACCAAGGCGACGACGGGUAGCCGGCCUGAGAGGGCGACCGGCCACAC